UAUCAGCAGGUAAAGUUUCGGAGCGAACAAGUUGCUGCCUGCAACCUCGCAGCUUGCGGCCUCGCUGCCAAGAUUACAAGGUUUUAGAAAAGAAACGUGGCCACGAAAUAAUUAUAUUUAUAAUAUAUCACAGCGUAGCCAGGAGACAUGGUCUAUAUUGCAAUCUGAUAAAUGUAUGAAUGUGCGAGGUCUCUCAUUACUGUUUAUUUUGGAAACCUAACUAUUCCACGAAGAGUUUGGAAAAUGCAAGAUGUUUUAAUAUAAUUUCAGAACAAUUCCCA